GAAGCGGCAGUGCAAUCGCGGGAACGAUCGAGGGAUCAACGCGUUCUCCGGCGAGCCACCGAUAAACCUUUCCUAAUCGAACGGUUUCCAAUUGAAUCGGCCCGGAUCGAUGCCGAGCGGGCUCGCGGCGCGCAAAACCGCUUUCAAUCGGCGGCGGCGGCUUAAAUAUGUCCGAUUAUACGUUCCCGUGGAUGCGUCACGGCCCAUUGAAAAUAAGGCUGCGUCCCAACGGCGACGCCCGGCGUCCCGCAAAAAUACGAUCCGCGUGUGUUCGGCCGACGCGGAACGGUGCGAGCGCGUCGCCCAUUAAUCCGUCGAUUCUCGUUCCCUGCUCAAAGAGCUUCCAUAAAUCCCGACGCCGGGCGUCGCGCGUUGGUCGAUAACCAUUAAGAAUGGAACGGAAUCCUUCGAAAAAUGACUUCGCGAGCCGAAAGUAGCCGUGCAACUUGAUCAAUAAAUCCAGUUAAUUUCAGUCUGCUAAUAAUAAAUCGGUCUGCUGAUAAGCAGAUCGCUGAUCUUUGCGCGAAAUAAAACUUCUCUUCGUCAGUUGCGACGGAGAUCAGCGAGUAAGAUUUUCGUUCUUUAUUUAAUAAUUUCAGUGAGCUGAUGAUGAUUUUUUCUUAGCAUUAUCGUUGUUUGAAAUGUUCCGUUUUCAUUGGAAAUGCAUAAAAUCCGCUGUCUAUUUAUUGGUGUCUAAUAAUUGUUGAUAUAGUAAUUGAAACCAUCGAGCUGAGACAACGAAACGAUCAUGUUCAACGUCGUUUACAAAACUAACAAUGUGGCUUUCGUUGUUAUUAUAAUAACCAGGUUAUAAUAAUUACAUUAAUUCAGGUAACAGGUUCGUGGUCUCGAUUAACGCGUAAUUUUAGUAUUGGUACGUGUGGAAUUGUUUAGAAUCCGAUGGAACGAGGUGUUGCAACGACAAAAACAUAAUAAGCGAAAUUUAUGAUUAGAUUGCGGAUUUUAUGCGUUUAUAGCGGAAAUGGUUGGAUAACAUGCAAAAUUGUGAAGAUGUUAGAAGAAUUUAGAAAUAUUCUUACACUAUCGUCAGUAUGUAAAUGAAACUAUUAGAAGAAAUACGUUUUCAUUUUUUUCUCAAUUUUUGUUUCAUGCAAUCGAGGAAGUCGAUCUUUAUUUUUCACAAAGAACCACAGUCUACUUACGACGAAUGCCGGAUAACCGGUGAAUCGGUAAACAAGUUUAACCGAAAGUCGACCACUUCUAACGCGGGACAAUAAUUAAAGGGGAAAACCGAAAGUGAAGCGGCACGCGGCCCGUUUCCGUCUCCGUUUUACUUUAUUGGCACUGAUUACCUCUCCCCGAAGAGGUAGGAUGGGGACUGCGAGAUUGCGCGAGGAUGAACGACGAGCCGGUGUGGUGGCGAGUGAAAUUGUGCCGCGCGGAACGGAACGGAACAGAGAGAAGCAGCGCGAAGCGGAGCGAAGCAGAGCGACGCGAGCUGGCGAACCGGCAGGGACGCGCGCGGAAAAUUGAAUAAAGGGGAUGGGGAUGGAAAAAAAGGCGAGAGCGACGCGCCGCGCCGUGGAACCGGAGGCACGAGAGGCGAAAUAAAGAACGGGGUAAGCCAAGAGGACAAGAAAAUCGAUAGAGUAUACGCGGACCGUCGAGCCUUGAGACGCGGAGCGGGGACGUCGCGCGCUCGAGCACUCUUGAAACGUCUUGUUUCUGCGUUGCGGGGAUCCGCCGCGCGGAUUUCGAUGGCCACGACGAUGGAUUCCACGGAUUCGGGUAACGAUGGCCGAGAGACAAUGUUUGCGAUAUUUUGUGCCGAUGAGUCGUCGAAAGUGGAUGGAUUCUUGAUGGAUUUAUCGUGGCCAGAGACUGUUUGUUGCGGGGUGGAGCUGCGAGUAGGUGUGGCUUCGAGUUAGACAUGUUGGGACAAACUCGGGACAACGUAUCGGAGAUACUUGGUCGAAAUAGACUGUGCCAACGAUGCUAAUAAAUUCACCGUUGUUUUCGUAACAACUUAUAUGUAUUCCGCUCCUCCAUUUUUAAUUUUUUUGCUACCUGCACCGUCACAAUCUCGCAUCUAGAUUUUAGGAUAUACUUCGAAACGUUUCACGCGACGAGCGAGACUUAUUUUUCUUAUUGUUAUUAAAUAAUACUGAUCAAAAAUCAGUACAUAUCAUUCUUGUCUAAUCAUUGUAACGGUACACACAAUAUACAUUUUUCUAACAUUUUCUAAA